rnacentral:tRNA from 1 species
GCUAUUUUAAGUUAAUUAGAUUGUGGAUUUUGUAGUUCUAAGGGUUUAGUAGCU